rnacentral:rRNA from 1 species
AGCAGUCGCCGCGGUAAUACGUAGGUGGCAAGCGUUGUCCGGAAUUAUUGGGCGUAAAGCGCGCGCAGGUGGUUUAAUAAGUCUGAUGUGAAGCCCACGGCUCAACCGUGGAGGGUCAUUGGAAACUGUUAAACUUGAGUGCAGGAGAGAAAAGUGGAAUUCCUAGUGUAGCGGUGAAAUGCGUAGAGAUUAGGAGGAACACCAGUGGCGAAGGCGGCUUUUUGGCCUGUAACCGACACUGAGGCGCGAAAGCGUGGGGAGCAAACAGGAUUAGAUACCCGCGUAGUCCCUGUCUCUUAUACA